rnacentral:rRNA from 1 species
GACGAACGCUGGCGGCGUGCUUAACACAUGCAAGUCGAACGGAAAGACCCUGCUUUUGUGGGGUGCUCGAGUGGCGAACGGGUGAGUAACACGUGAGUAACCUGCCCUUGACUUUGGGAUAACUUCAGGAAACUGGGGCUAAUACCGGAUAGGAGCUCCUGCUGCAUGGUGGGGGUUGGAAAGUUUCGGCGGUUGGGGAUGGACUCGCGGCUUAUCAGCUUGUUGGUGGGGUAGUGGCUUACCAAGGCUUUGACGGGUAGCCGGCCUGAGAGGGUGACCGGCCACAUUGGGACUGAGAUACGGCCCAGACUCCUACGGGAGGCAGCAGUGGGGAAUAUUGCACAAUGGGCGGAAGCCUGAUGCAGCAACGCCGCGUGCGGGAUGACGGCCUUCGGGUUGUAAACCGCUUUCGCCUGUGACGAAGCGUGAGUGACGGUAAUGGGUAAAGAAGCACCGGCUAACUACGCG